ensembl:snoRNA
GUACAUGUGAUGAGCAUCAUACAGUAUGAAAAACAAUGAUACUGUAAACGCUUUCUGAUGUA